GUUAUGUAUAAUUAGAGUUUCAACAAAAUUAUCCAGGAUUUAAAAAAAAAAUCUUUUCAGUAAUUUCGUUUAAAAAUUUCAAAUAGCAUUAAAUACAACUUAUCAGGUUUUGAAUCAAAACCGGGUUUCGAGCCUUGGGGUCCGAAGCUCACUCAGUAGAAGGCUGUGUAGCACCUUCUCAGUUCAGGAAAGAACUUCGUGAGGUGGAGGAAAUCUCUUUCUCUCUCCCUCUCUCCUUUUCUCUCCUUCCCCCUGUCUGUCUCUAUUUCUCCCUGUCUCUCUCUGUCUCUCUGUCUGUCUCUGUCUCGUCUGUCUGUCUCUCUCUGUUUUUCUCUCUCUCUCCUCAAAUUCAUAGAAAAUGAUGGGCCAGCGGUAGUUAGCAGGUUUCAAACUGCACCAACUUGAGACUAUGACCCAGACGCUACUAUGUGGGUGCCUUUCUACUUGGGGGACACUUUCUGGCUUCAUGGUUGUUCCUGCCUGAAUUUUCAGACCCCCUCCACCUGGCUCAGAAAUACCCAGUGUGAGCAACUGUCUGUUUACUCUUCCCUUGCCCAACCUGGGCUCUCCAGAGUGCACACACAGGUGUCCCUGCCCAUCCAGGGUAGGGACAGUGACGUGCAUUGUGAGUUGCCCUGUCCCUUUUCUGUUCAGCAGCAGCCUGGGAAGAGACCCUCAAAGUACCUGUGGGUAUCCUCCACCCUCCCUCCAGGGUAGGUGUGAGCUGGCCCCUGGCAGGCAGGUAUCCCCUCCACUGGGAAAGAGGGGGGAAAGAGUGUGGAACCUUGGAACCCCUCCUCCAGAGGUUAGAAGGUUAGAGAGCCUGGACAGGUGCAGUAACUCAUACAGUUGCAACCCAGUUCAAGACCUUCAGGGGUUCUUAGUGUGGCACUGCAGACCACAGUUAAUUCCGUAGUGUUUUUAGUUAAUUAGUUAAUCAAUUAAUUAAUUUAACGUGUCAGGGCUAAAGUAUUUCAA
rnacentral:lncRNA from 1 species